CGGCCAAUGCAAAGAGAACUUUU
rnacentral:piRNA from 1 species